rnacentral:rRNA from 1 species
AAUAGACGCUGGCGGCGUGCCUAACACAUGCAAGUCGAGCGAGAAAGUUCCUUCGGGAGCGAGUACAGCGGCGGACGGGUGAGUAACGCGUGAGAAUCUGCCCUUAAGUGAAGAAUACCCUCGAGAAAUCGAGGUUAAUACUGCAUACGUCCUACGGGAGAAAGAUGGCCUCUUUGCUGUCGCUGAAGGAUGAGCUCACGUACUAUCAGCUAGUUGGUAGGGUAAAGGCCUACCAAGGCUAUGACGGUUAGCCGGCCUGAGAGGGUGUACGGCCACACUGGAACUUAGACACGGUCCAGACUCCUACGGGAGGCAGCAGUGGGGAAUAUUGCGCAAUGGGCGAAAGCCUGACGCAGCGACGCCGCGUGGGGGAUGAAGGUCUUAGGAUCGUAAACCCCUGUUAAGUGGAAAGAAAAGCUUUGCGAAGAAUAUGCGCAGAGUAUGACGGUACCAUUAGAGAAAGCACCGGCUAACUUCGUGCCAGCCGCCGCGGUAA